CAAUAGCGUAUAUUAAAGUUGUUGCAGUUAAAAAGCUCGUAGUUGGAUUUGUGGCGUACGGUGUGUUCCGGGCACUUGUUGUCUGAGUAACCUGCUGUUGCCAUCCUUGGGUGGAACCUGGGUGGCAUUAGGUUGUCGUGCAGGGGAUGCCCAUCAUUUACUGUGAAAAAAUUAGAGUGUUCAAAGCAGGCUUAUGCCGUUGAAUAUAUUAGCAUGGAAUAAUGAGAUAGGACUUUUUUGCUAUUUUGUUGGUUUGCGCAAAGAGGUAAUGAUUAAUAGGGACAGUUGGGGAUAUUCGUAUUCCAUUGUCAGAGGUGAAAUUCUUGGAUUUUUGGAAGACGAACUACUGCGAAAGCAUUUACCAAGGAUGUUUUCAUUAA
rnacentral:rRNA from 1 species